GAUGAAGAACGUAGCGAAAUGCGAUAAGUAGUGUGAAUUGCAGAAUUCAGUGAAUCAUCGAAUCUUUGAACGCACAUUGCGCCCCUUGGUAUUCCAUGGGGCAUGCCUGUUCGAGCGUCAUUUGUACCUUCAAGCUUUGCUUGGUGUUGGGUGUUUGUCCCGAGGGACUCGCCUUAAAGUAAUUGGCAGCCAGUGUUUGGUUUUGAAGCGCAGCACAAGUCGCGAUUCAAGGCUACACGCCCGCUUCCACAAGCCUUUUUUCAUUUUUGACCUCGGAUCAGGUAGGGAUACCCGCUGAACUUAAGUAUAUCAAUAAGCGGAGGA
rnacentral:misc_RNA from 1 species